CAUGACUAUUAUUUGAUAUUUCAGACAUAUUUUUGCUAUUUGUAUAAUAAGAGACAGUUCGUCUUCAAAUUCAUACGAACGAGCAUUAUGCAAUUUGCACCAAUAUUUAAAUGGACAUAUUCUCGGCACAUAUUGUAUUGAAUUCAUUUUUUUUAAGUUUACCAGUCAUUUCAAUUUUUCUUGUUAUCCAAUUUUGCUUCGACCAGAUGUUUAAAUCAUUGUCGCAACAGGCCAAUAUUUCAGACUUUCAGAUACAUAACAAGAACAUGGAGAAAAAAUUGAUUAGUGCUUCGGAUAUUCAACUGUAAUAGAGAACGAUUUUCUAUUCAGAUUUUGUACAUUACCUGUGACAGUUCACAUUUUAGCUUACCUGACCAUCACAUCACCCAUCAUCACAUGUGAGGUAUAGUGAUGGGGCUAUGUCCAGGGUCCGUUGCCUUGAAUCGUUAACAUUUGGAUUGUUAACACUUUAGCAGUCACAGUUUUUAUUGGAUCAUAAUCAAACUUUGUCAGAAUGUCUUUCUCAAUGAAAUACAGGUCAGAUUCGAAUAUGGGUCAAAAACUAGGUCACAGGAGCUAAAAAAAGAAAAAUCUUGUUAACACUCUAGUGGCUGCAGUUUUGUUUCAAAUAUUCUUGAAAUUGGUCAAAAAAUUUUUUUUGAUGAUUUCUAGGUCAAGUUUGAAUAUGGGUCAUAUUGGGUCAAAAACUAGGUCAUAUGAGCUAAAAAUAGAAAAAUCUUGUUAACACUCUAGUGACUGCAGUUUUGAUCCAAAUAUUCUAGAAAUUGGUCAGGAAAGUUGUUUUAAUGAUUUCUAGGUCAAGUUUGAAUAUGGGUCACCUGGGUCAAAAACUAGGUCACUCUGACAUAAUAUGAAAAAACCUUUUUAACACUAAAGGUCACAUUUUUGACUCAAUUGUCAUCAAAUUUGGUCAGGAUACUUGUCUGAGAAAUUGCUUGGAUGAGUUGGAUCAGUCAAGUGAGCGGUCUAGGGCCAUCUUGGCCCUCUUGUUUUAUAACUCCUUUUUUAUGUUCCCAAAAGAAUUUCGGGCAUAUUAUGUUAUACCCCCUGGCGUCCGUCCGUCUGUCUGGACGUCCGUCUGUCCGUUAGCAAUUUGGUUUCUGGAGCAUAACUUAAGUUCCAUUUGGCCCACAAUUUUCAAACUUCAUAGGAUGAUUGUCCAUAUUGGGUAGAAGACGCCUAUUGAUUUUGGGGUCACAAUGUCAAAGGUCAAGGUCACUAUUACUUUAAAACUGAAAACAGUUUCCAGAGCAUAACUUAAUUUCUAUUUGGCCCAUAGUGUUCAAACUUCAUAGGAUGAUUGUCCAUAUUGGGUAGAAGACUCCUAUUGAUUUUGGGGUCACAAGGUCAAAGGUCAAGAUCAUCAUCACUUUAAAACUGAAAACAGUUUCCAGAGCAAAACUUAAGUUCCAUGUGGCCCACAAUAUUCAAACUUCAUAGGAUGAUUGUCCAUAUUGGGUAGAACAACCCUAUUGAUUUUGGGGGCACAAGGUCAAAGGUCAAGGUCACUAUUACUUUAAAACUGAAAACAGUUUCUGGAACAUAUCUUAAGUUUCAUUUGGCCCACAGUGUUCAAACUUCAUAGGAUGAUUGUCCAUAUUGUUUUGAAUUUUUGGGUCACAAGGUCAGAGGUCAAGGUCACUAUUACUUUUAAACUGAAAACAGUUUCCGGAGCAUAACUUAAGGUCUAUUUGGCCCACAGUAUUCAAACUUCAUAGGAUGAUUGUCCAUAUUGGGUAGAAGACGCCUAUUGAUUUUGGGGUCACAAUGUCAAAGGUCAAGGUCACUAUUACUUUAAAACUGAAAACAGUUUCCAGAGCAUAACUUAAUUUCUAUUUGGCCCAUAGUGUUCAAACUUCAUAGGAUGAUUGUCCAUAUUGGGUAGAAGACCCCUAUUGAUUUUGGGGUCACAAGGUCAAAGUUCAAGGUCGCUAUUACCUCAAAACUGAAAACAGUUUCUGGAGCAUAACUUAAAUUCCAUUUGGCCUUUAAUAUUCAAACUUUAUAGGUGGAUUGCUAUUUGAAGGAGGUAAUACUUUAUUUAAUUUAUGUAAUGUCUUACAAAUACUUCAUCCUUACUAAAGAAAAAAAAACUAAAAUUCACACAUAUAUCUGUGACAUGCAAACCUCGCUGCAUUAAAUAACCUACACAAUCCCAAAAUCAAUUUAAAACCCUGCACUGUAUAUAGAACGGCCUAGACAGGAAGUAAAUGGCGUUUGAUUAACUAGGGGACACAACUAAAGCUGGACUGUAAUGGCUAACUUUUUACACUACAUUCAUGAUUUAUGUUUUUCUUUCGAAAGUUUUUUGUUUCUUUUAAAUAUAAUUAGUAUUAUUUGUGAAUAUAAUAUAUCUUUAAAUCAUUGAAUUGUUUUAGAAAAAGAUAAUGUCAAUAUUCAUUGAACAGUAAAUAAAAAACGUCAGUGUUAUAUGUAUAGGCGUGGGUGGGGUAAUGCGGUAAUUUUGCAAUGUGAUUAUUAAAAACUUUAAAAAAAUCUUCUUUUAAAAAACCCAAAGAGCCAGAGCUUAGAUAUUAAGCAUGAAAAAUAUUCUAAUGGCUGUCUACCAAGUUGUGUCAAAUAAAAGCCCUAGGGUCAAAAUUGGCCCCCCCCCUGUAGUUCAUUGAUUUCCUGAUAAGUACACAUCUUUUGGAACUGUUGUUUUCCCUUAGCAAUAGCAACCAGUAAUGUUUUACACAUGCACUAUUUCAGAAUCAAAUAUGAACUUUGUGAUAUCAGUUUAAGGUUUAGAUUUCAUAUCUGCGUUUGUUGAUAGUUUACAAUAUUACUUGUUCCUUGUCAUGGUGAGUUUCUAUAUUCAGGUGAGUGAUUUCAGGGCCAUCAUGGCCCUCUUGUUUAUUGUAUAGAUAUCUUCUUUUUCCACAACACUAAGUAUCUUCAUAUUCAUAGCUAGUAAUGUCAGAAGAAUUACUUCCCUUGGAUCUUGUGGCAUUUGUUUCCCCAAUAAGCAUCAUAGGUUUUGACAUGCUGAAUAAUAUUGUGAUAGCUUCAUUGAUCCUUAUCUUAGAACUGCUUCCAAUUUGUAAGAAAAUGUUAUAUUAAAUGUCAGUAUCAAUACAUAAAGAAUGACUCCUUCUUGUGCAUUUUUUUAUACUGUUUCAACAUUCUUUCCUUAAAAUUGACUUUAGAUUUUAAUCAGAUUACAUGUAUUUAGGCUAUUACACUAAUUGUUUCUUGGUCACAUGAAUGCACUUCAAGAUACAUGUUUUGAACUGUCAUGUCACCUGUAUCUGCUGGCAUAGGUACAGCAGCAUUUAAUGUAUUAAGAUGAGACUUAAUGAGGUUGUUUAACUGCUAAAAAUUCUAUGUUAUUGUUUCCUCUCUUAUUUAAAGCUGCUUGCCUCCAGAUGAGCUACAGUAUUUGAAGAAAAUGAAACUCAAUAACAAUUUAAUAAUACUUUAAGAAAAAUAAAAAGAUUCAAGAUUCAAAAAUAAUUUACAUAUGUGUGAUUGAUGAUACUAUUACAUUUACUGUGUGACUAACACCUGUUGGUUGUUUAAGUGGAUUGAUUGCAGGUUACUGGAUGGAUAUAGACUUUUUGAGGAGUUUUUAGCUGACUUUUUAUACCCCCUCACAACAAAGUUGUAAGGGGGGUAUAACUUGAAUCAGCUUGUCCAUCCCGCCAUCCGGCCGUCCGUCGGUUUUUCCUUGUCCGCCCAAUAACUUAAGAUAACUAUGACCCAGAGUCUUAAUAUUUGGUAUUUAGAUUGGUCAAGAUUAGCAAAUGAUCCCUAAUGAUUUUGAGGUCACCAGGUCAAAGGUCAAGGUCACAGGGGCCUUGACUAAAAAAAGCUUGUCCGCCAAAUAACUUAAGAUUCCUUUUACCCACAGUCUUCAUAUUUCUCAUGGAGGUUGGCCAUGAUUAGUAGAUGACCCCAAUAGAUUUUGACGUCACCAGGUCAAAGGUUACGUUCAUAGGGGCCUUGACUAAAAAAAUCUUGUCCGCCCAAUAACUUAAGAUUCCUUUAACCCAGUCUUCAUAUUUGGCAUGAAGGUUAGUCAUGAUAAGUAGAUGACCCCUAUUGAUUUUGAGGUCACUGGGUCAAAGGUCAAGGUCACAGGGGUCUUGAUUAAAAAGAGCUUGUCCGCCCAAUAACUUUAGAUUCCUUUGACCCACAGUCUUCAUAUUUGGCAUGGAGGUUAGUCAUGAUGUGUAGAUGAUCCCAAUAACUUUAGAUUCCUUUGACCCACAGUCUUCAUAUUUGGCAUGAGGUUAGUCAUGAUGUGUAGAUGAUCCCUAUUGAUUUUGAGGUCACUGGAUCAAAGGUCAAGGUCACAGGGGUCUUGAAUGAAAAACACUUGUCCGCCCAAUAACUUUAGAUUCUUUUGACCCACUGUCAUGGCUGUUAGUCAUGAGUAGUAGAUGACCUCUUUUGAUUUUGAGGUCACUGGGUCAAAGGUCAAGGUCACAGGGGCAUUAACUAAGAAAACCUUGUCAGCCUAAUAACUAAAGAAUCCUUAGACCCACAGUCUCCACAUUUGGCAUGGUGGAUGUCAUGAUUAGUAGAUGACCUCUAUUGAUUUUGAGGUCACUGUUCAAAAGUCAAGGUCACAGAGGUCUUGACUAAAAUAGCAUGUCCGCCCAAUAACUUAAAAUUACUUUGUCCCACAGUCUUCAUAUUUAGCAUGGAGGUAAGUCAUGAUUAGUAGAUGACCUCUAUUGAUUUUGAGGUCACUGGGUCAAAGGUCAAGGUCACAGGGACUUUUACUACAAUAAGCUUAUCAGAUCAAAUGCUUAAGAAUUAAGUGUUAUUGAUUUUGACAUUUUCACAUUUGAAGCAUAUAAUUAUGUUCUCAUAUAAAUUCAUCAUAAAACACCCCCAGGCAAAGCUGCAAGUCAUGCAGUGGCAGUUUUGGGUUUGAGGUCAAAGGUUAAGGUCACUUUGAUCUUUGCCACAAAAAACAUGUAGAAAACAUAAUUUAGCAAUGCUUUGGCUUACUACCUUCAGAUUUGGCAGGGAGGUUGUCCUUGAGCUCUAAAUGACCACUGUUGAUUCUGACAAAGUGGUAUGCAGGGAUAUUCACACCAUGACAGUGGCAGUUCUAGUUUUGACCGUGUUGCACGCGAUGUUUGGCACUACAUUGUGACUCGUGUAAACAACACUUAAAAUGUCUGUACAGCAAUUAUGACUGAAUUAAAGAUAUUGGUGUUUGGAUUUAUUUUCUUAGAUCAUCUUUUAGCUCACCUGUCACAAAGUGACAGGGUGAGCUUUUGUGAUCGCUUUUCGUCCUGCGUCCGUCCGUCGUCCGUCCGUCCGUCGUCCGUCCGUAAACUUUUACUUUAAAUGACAUCUCCUCAUAAACCACUAAGCCAAUUUCAUCCAAACUUCACAGGAAUGUUCCUUUGGUGGUCACCUUUAAAAAUUGUUCAAAGAAUUUAAUUCCAUGUAGAACUCUGGUUUCCAUGGCAACCGAAAGAAUUUUUUUUAAAUAUCUUCUUUUAAAAAACCCUAAGAGCUAGAGCUUAGAUAUUUGGCAUGAAACAUCUUCUAGUGAGUGUCUACCAAGUUUGUUCAAAUAAAAGCCUUAGGGUCAAAAUUGGCCCCGCCCCAGGGGGUCAUUGAUUUUCCCUAUAUACAUAUAGUAAAAACUUACAAAAUCUUCUAUGAAAGAACUCAAAGAGCUAGAGCUAAGAUAUUCAGCAUGAAACAUCUUCUAAUGGGUGUCUACCAAGUUUGUUCAAAUAAAAGCCCUGGGGUCAAAAUUGGCCCCGCCCCGGGGUCAUUGAUUUUCCUUAUAUGUGUAUAGCAAAAACUUAAAUAAUCUUCUUUGGAAAAACCGAAAUAGCUAGAGUUUAGAUAUUAAGCAUGAAACAUCUUCUAGUGAGUGUCUACAAAGUUUGUGCAAAUAAAAGCCUUAGGGUCAAAAUUGGCCCCGCCCCGGGGGGUCUUGAUUUUCCCUAUAUGCAUAUAGUAAAAACUUAAAAAAUCUUCUUUGAAAAAACCUAAAUAGCUAGAGUUUAGAUAUAUGGCAUGAAACAUCUUCUAGUGAGUGUCUACCAAGUUUGUUCAAAUAAAAUCCCUGGGGUCAAAAUUGGCCCCGCCCAAGGGGGUCAUUGAUUUUACCUAUAUGCAUAUAGUAAAAACUUAAAAAUGCUUCUUUUAAAGAACCCAAAGAGCUAGAGCUAAAAUAUUCAGCAUUAAACAUCUUCUAAUGAGUGUGUACCAAGUUUGUUCAAAUAAAAGCCCUGGGGUCAAAAUUGGCCCUGCCCCAGGGGGUCAUUGAUUUUCCCUAUAUGCAUAUACAGUACAGAUAUCGAGGAAUAUGCAAAUUUCUGCGAGUAUCGAGUAAUCUCAAAAAGCGUGACUCCGAGUGGAUUAUAAAUUUCUCGGGUGAAAAAGAGUGACUCCGAGACAAAAACGAGUGACAAUUUUGUCCGCGGGACUCCGUGAAUCUCCGAGUCAAAAAGAGUGACUCCGAGAAAAUAAGACUGAUUUGAACAAUAUAGAACAGAGUUAAGAAGUUCGAUCUGCUAGGCAAUUCUACCGAUGUUGGCAGCACAAGAAAGGUCAACAUUAAGGAAUUCAUUUAUGAAAUUCUACCGAUGUUUGCAGGGGGAAAACAACAGGCGCUGCGUCGUCUCAAAAAUAAAACCAUGAAUUAUAAAACAAGAACAUUGAGAUUGGCAGUGAUUUUUUAAAGGCAUGGCGGUCUUUUUCAAUCCACAUACGUACAUGUACAACGCAUGCCCGCUUGCUGUGACGAUCAAAUAUGUUCAUAUGCUAUUAUAAAAAUAUUGUUUUAUCGUCUAUGAACAGUACAUGUACGUGAAAUCGGAAGUAGUUUAAUCUUUGUCAAAACUGUUUUUUUAUUUUUAUAAAAUGACAUGAUAUAGAUGAUGUACAAACCAUAAACAAAUAAAACAAAAAGACAAAUAAAAUGAUCAUUUUA